rnacentral:misc_RNA from 1 species
AAAGUCGUAACAAGGUAACCGUAGGUGAACCUGCGGUUGGAUCAUUAACAAAAUGAUAAAAGUCCGGACCAUAAAACGUCCUGGGCUUUUAUAAACACCUGUGAACUGUAAUUGUAUCUGGUGGUUUUUAUUUUUUAAAAUUGAACCACCGUCAAUAAUUUGAACUUUUAUAUAUCUUGAAUUAGUUUUUAAUUAAAAUUUAUAAUCUAAAACAACUUUUGACAACGGAUCUCUAGGCUCUC